rnacentral:rRNA from 1 species
GACGAACGCUGGCGGCGUGCUUAACACAUGCAAGUCGAACGGAAAGGCCCUGCUUUUGUGGGGUGCUCGAGUGGCGAACGGGUGAGUAACACGUGAGUAACCUGCCCUUGACUUUGGGAUAACUUCAGGAAACUGGGGCUAAUACCGGAUAGGAGCUCCUGCUGCAUGGUGGGGGUUGGAAAGUUUCGGCGGUUGGGGAUGGACUCGCGGCUUAUCAGCUUGUUGGUGGGGUAGUGGCUUACCAAGGCUUUGACGGGUAGCCGGCCUGAGAGGGUGACCGGCCACAUUGGGACUGAGAUACGGCCCGGACUCCUACGGGAGGGAGCAGUGGGGAAUGUUGCACAAUGGGCGGAAGCCUGAUGCAGCAACGCCGCGUGCGGGAUGACGGCCUUCGGGUUGUAAGCCGCUUUCGCCUGUGACGAAGCGUGAGUGACGGUAAUGGGUAAAGAAGCUCCGGCUAACUACGUG